rnacentral:misc_RNA from 1 species
GAUGAAGAACGUAGCGAAAUGCGAUAAGUAGUGUGAAUUGCAGAAUUUAGUGAAUCAUCGAAUCUUUGAACGCACAUUGCGCCCCUUGGUAUUCCAUGGGGCAUGCCUGUUCGAGCGUCAUUUGUACCUUUAAGCUCUGCUUGGUGUUGGGUGUUUGUCUCGCCUCUGCGUGUAGACUCGCCUCAAAACAAUUGGCAGCCGGCGUAUUGAUUUCGGAGUGCAGUACAUCUCGCGCUUUGCACUCAUAACGACGACGUCCAAAAGUACAUUUUUACACUCUUGACCUCGGAUCAGGUAGGGAUACCCGCUGAACUUAAGCAUAUCAAUAAGCGGAGGA